UAUUCAAAUUUACAUAUUUAUUAGGGUGUUUUGAUGUAAUAUAUCAUGACUAGGGGAUCAUCUCUUUCACUUGUCCAAUUGAAACUAAUAUAGUUCUUACCAAUACACAUGUUUUGCUAUAAACCAGAAGUUAACAUAAAAAAAUAUUAGAAUCUUGAAAUUUUCGCAAAAAGAUAUUACUUACCCCAAAAGGCACUUCACUUGAAAGCAGUCAUAGUUCCAAAAGUCACAUUAACAACACUUAUUUGAAGUAAAUUAAUUUAAGAAUGAAUCUAGCUAUUUCGUACAAAAUAUAAGGGCUAAGCCUUAAUAAUCCUUGCUUUUAUACAUCAAACUAAAAAUUUAGAAAGCGGAAGAAAAUCCUUGGCUUGCAAAUAUAUUAGAAAACUUUUGCCAGUGAUGAUAGAGUUGCUUAUCCUUAUUCUCCUAAGAGUGCAAGCUAAUGGCCUUGCCCAUAUCUCUUUCCACCCCUCUUCGCCUCUCACUCUGCUUCCUCAUGUUUCUAAACUUGAUAAAGUUCAAACUAAUGACCUUGCCACUACCACUUUUGGUCCCUCUCCUAUGCCCAUCAUGUAUCCUCACUUCUCUGAACAUGAUGCAGUUCAAGGAAAAAAACAUACAUGCAUUGAAAAUGCAAUUAAAGUUUGUAAAGAACCAUGGCCACUUCACCGCUUGUCUCGACAUCACUUGAAAAAUGUUAUAGCUUGUAGUUUUUUUCUUCAUGGAUUAUGUUGGAGGAAACAAAGUGGGGAAAGGACGAUGGGUUUUAAGAAUAUAGGGUGCAUAAGAACUUGCCUAGAUCGUCAUCUAAUCGAUUUGGAGACCUGUUUCAAACAAUGUUACACAAGUCAUUUCUAGAAGCACUCGAAUGUCGCCUAUACACAGAAUCCCAAGUGUAAAGUCUGGUGUUAUUUUUUCUCCGACCAGAUCAGCAAUUUUGGCCUCUCCGUUAUGCAUCCAUCUAUCUACCUCUAUGAUGUGACGUUCAUCUCCUUCCUAGCCAUUGCUUAUGAUUGCUGCUUGUAUUUUUGCUUUGAAUAAAAGUUUUAUUCUCUUUAGAUUUGCUCUUAUGGGCGAUCUAUGAAAUGAAAGUUAGUUAGGUGUGAGGGUAUAUCUCUCACGGCAUGAAUAGUUCGGUGUGAGGGGUUAUCUCUAACGCCGGUUUAAAUAAAAUUUUCUAGGAUAUUUGGUUACCAUUGUCUUAGAUUUAGUCUGCUUGGGACAGAUCUGCUCUUUAACUAUUUUUGUACAUGGAUUAACGGAAGAUAAAAGUCAUAGAUAACACUUUAUUGUAAGAAUUUUGUUUGUAUCUAUGACUAUGUAACUUCAAAUCAUGUGGCUAUGAUUUUGCAGAGUUUAAUGCUUUGUGAUGUAAGAA